GUGAAUUGCAGAAUUCAGUGAUCAUCGAAUCUUUGAACGCACAUUGCGCCCUUUGGUAUUCCAAAGGGCAUGCCUGUUCGAGCGUCAUUUGUACCCUCAAGCUUUGCUUGGUGUUGGGCGUCUUGUCUCUAGCUUUGCUGGAGACUCGCCUUAAAGUAAUUGGCAGCCGGCCUACUGGUUUCGGAGCGCAGCACAAGUCGCACUCUCUAUCAGCAAAGGUCUAGCAUCCAUUAAGCCUUUUUUUCAACUUUUGACCUCGGAUCAGGUAGGGAUACCCGCUGAACUUAAGCAUAUCAAUAAGCGGAGGAA
rnacentral:rRNA from 1 species